ACCUAAUAGAUACCCCGGUAGUCCACGCCCUAAACGAUGCGAACUGGAUGUUGGGUACAUUACGGUACUCAGUGUCGAAAGCUAAACGCGUUAAGUUCGCCGCCUGGGGAGUACGGUCGCAAGACCGAAACUCAAAGGAAUUGACGGGGGCCCGCACAAGCGGUGGAGUAUGUGGUUUAAUUCGAUGCAACGCGAAGAACCUUACCUGGCCUUGACAUCUGUCGAAUCCUGCAGAGAUGCGGGAGUGCCGCAAGGAACGACAAGACAGGUGCUGCAUGGCUGUCGUCAGCUCGUGUCGUGAGAUGUUGGGUUAAGUCCCGCAACGAGCGCAACCCUUGUCCCUAGUUGCCAGCACAUCAUGGUGGGAACUCUAGGGAGACUGCCGGUGACAAACCGGAGGAAGGU
rnacentral:rRNA from 1 species